GACGAACGCUGGCGGCGUGCUUAACACAUGCAAGUCGAACGGACCUUUCGGGGUUAGUGGCGGACGGGUGAGUAACACGUGAGUAACCUGCCCUUGACUCUGGGAUAACUGCGGGAAACUGUAGCUAAUACCGGAUACGACCCUCGGAGGCAUCUCCUGGGGGUGGAAAGAAUUUCGGUCAAGGAUGGACUCGCGGCCUAUCAGCUAGUUGGUGAGGUAAAGGCUCACCAAGGCGACGACGGGUAGCCGGCCUGAGAGGGUGACCGGCCACACUGGGACGGAGACACUGCCCAGACUCCUACGGGAGGCAGCAGUGGGGAAUAUUGCACAAUGGGCGCGAGCCUGAUGCAGCAACGCCGCGUGAGGGAUGAAGGUCUUCGGAUUGUAAACCUCUUUCAGUAGGGACGAAGCGAAAGUGACGGUACCUAAAGAAGAAGCACCGGCUAACUACGUGCCAGCAGCCGCGGUAA
rnacentral:rRNA from 1 species